rnacentral:rRNA from 1 species
GAUGAACGCUGGCGGCGUGCCUAAUACAUGCAAGUCGAGCGAAUGGAUUAAGAGCUUGCUCUUAUGAAGUUAGCGGCGGACGGGUGAGUAACACGUGGGUAACCUGCCCAUAAGACUGGGAUAACUCCGGGAAACCGGGGCUAAUACCGGAUAACAUUUUGAACCGCAUGGUUCGAAAUUGAAAGGCGGCUUCGGCUGUCACUUAUGGAUGGACCCGCGUCGCAUUAGCUAGUUGGUGAGGUAACGGCUCACCAAGGCAACGAUGCGUAGCCGAUCUGAGAGGGUGAUCGUCCACACUGUGACUGAGACACGGCCCAGACUCCUACGGGAGGCAGCAGUAGGGAAUCUUCCGCAAUGGGCGAAAGUCUGACGGAGCAACGCCGCGUGAGUGAUGAAGGCUUUCGGGUCGUAAAACUCUGUUGUUAGGGAAGAACAAGUGCUAGUUGAAUAAGCUGGCACCUUGACGGUACCUAACCAGAAAGCCACGGCUAACUACGUGCCAGCCGCCGCGGUAA